rnacentral:rRNA from 1 species
GGGCCCGCACAAGCGGUGGAGCAUGUGGUUUAAUUCGAUGAUACGCGAGGAACCUUACCAGGGCUUAAAUGCAGAACGACAGAGGUGGAAACACCUCCUUCUUCGGACGGUCUGCAAGGUGCUGCAUGGUUGUCGUCAGCUCGUGCUGUGAAGUGUCGGGUUAAGUCCCAUAACGAGCGCAACCCCUAUUUCUAGUUGCCAGCGGUUCGGCCGGGGACUCUAGAGAAACUGCCAGCGUAAGCUGUGAGGAAGGUGGGGAUGACGUCAAAUCAUCACGGCCCUUACGUCCUGGGCUACACACGUGCUACAAUGGUAGGGACAGAGAGUUGCCAACCCGCGAGGGUGAG